CCGACUCUGACGUUGUGGGAGUUUCCUUGUAUAACGUGUCGAAAGCUCAUCGGAUCAUCCAAUCGGUGCACCAAACACGGAUGGAUCUGAGAGGACUCGGUGGACAAAGACAAGCUCGAUUUUGUAUAUACUCACUAGUGGGGCGACGACAGUAUUAAGGGAAUCUGUUCCCAGGCGGCGAUGCUUUUGUUCUAUUUCUUGACCUCCUCGAGUAGGGGGAUGAGGCCUCACCCUCGUGGUUACGCUCCCAUUCCCAACCCAGUAAUCUACACUGUCACGUGCGCGAUCGCGUGUGAGGGAGUGUAAGUGAGAGAGCUUCAUGACCCUUUUGGCAGUCGAGUGAUUGGAAACCCAGUGAAGAAGAAGAAGAAGCAGAAGGAGGAGAAGAAGAGAGUGAGUAGUGAGUGAGUGAGUCGAAAGGUAGGCGGAGAAGUGGCCGAUCGUGAAAGUGUUGUGAACGCCGAGUAGGGUUACAAGCACCGGAUCAUCGCGGUCGGACAUGUUACUAGAAGCGAUUCAAUUUACGUCGCUGUUUUGGUAAAGGUCAGUGGAGGUCAGAGGAUUGCACAGGACCUUCUGGCCAGCUGUUUUUGUCAGGGGGACAGACGUUAGCAGUAUCGGUGCAGAAGUACCAGCUUGUUUUUGUCACUUCUUCUGUUUCAGAUCCUUUACAUGAAAACUAGGUUUGAAGUCUUGCCGAUGCUGGUUUGCAUCGCGGAUCAUUCAUCCGAGGAUGUAUAGUAUCUUGAUCUGUUCUUCACAAAGAGUUCAGAAGAAUCCGUAGUUAACAGUUUGGGACCCUUUCCACCCUGAUUUAGUUUUACUUCUGACCUGUUAAAUCAGUGAGCAAAGUAGGAGCACUCUUACAACUGGCUAUUUUGAGAUGCGAGACACUAGUGUUUAAGAGCUUGGCACGUCAAGAAUUUAGGCAGCAAACAAAGUAGUGAGAGGAAAUUGAUUCCUCCACAAUGCUUCUUCCGGACUUGUUCCAGUGAUCCGCCUGCGUGUUGCUAGCUGAUUCGGCUUUUCCACGGCUACGGAUCUGGAUGUUCAUAGAUCACCGAGCAGAAGCCCAGUCCCCUCGGGCAAUUCUGGUGAUUCAACGAAAUAACGAAGACUCCUCAACUUCUUAUCCUAUUCCUUGUCCCAGUUAAUAAAUCCUCAUUUCUUGGCGGAUCCCAUCAAUGAAAUAAUUGCAGUGCUGUCCCCGGUUCUGAUCGUGUUUUGAUGUAAUUACAUCAUAUGUGUUAAACAUAAGAUCAGCUAACAGAUUUUCGAAGACGCACUCCGCAGACGUUUCGAUACAAUUUUCUGCUUCAGGACCAUUUUCCAUGCUGUUCCUUAAUUCAUCCGUCGAAGAGUUCCCUCCCUGAUCUUCCGUACGCGCAUAAGUAUCCGCUAAUCGACAUAAAAUGACGUCCGAUUUCCGAUCCUCCGAGUUCAUCAACCUUCUCAAUGUCCCAACAGCGCCAGGUAUACACCCGAGCGAUCACAACAGAUUUAGCGAGACGAUGCCGUUCCAGUUCCGACCGGAGGAACAGUACGUUUAUAGUAUGCACAGGGAUACAAAGCCCGCUACAUCAACCAGAGAGAACGAUUUUGCCAACCGGAUACAAUCAUUUAUGAAUGGCGGAGUUGCCCUUAGCAACAAUGUGAAUCGGGGGGAUGCAGGCCCAUCAUCAGGCUUCAUGAGAUCAGUCGGACCGGUUCUGGACGGAAUGGCUUCUCCGCCAACCCAGGUCGAUAACCAGCAUGAGCAGAACACAGGAGCUCCAAGUCGUUACGAGGCACAAAAACGCCGGGACUGGAACACUUUCGGACAGUAUCUUCGGAACCAUCGCCCACCCUUACCCCUAGCGAGAUGCACGGGAGCUCAUGUAUUGGAGUUCAUGAGAUACCUGGACCAAUUUGGAAAGACGAAGGUGCACAUUGCUUCAUGCUCGUUCUUUGGACUGCCACAUCCUCCCCAUCCAUGUCCUUGCCCUUUGCGGCAAGCGUGGGGUUCCCUCGACGCCCUGAUUGGAAGGUUACGGGCGGCUUUUGAAGAGAAUGGGGGGAUGCCUGAAAGCAACCCCUUUGGAGCCAGACAGGUGCGGCUGUACUUGCGAGAGGUUCGGGAGAUGCAAGCUAAGGCCAGGGGAAUCGCAUACGAGAAGAAGAAACGAAAGCGAAUGCCGCCACCUUCUACGUUAGGAGUAAAUGGGGUGAUCGCUAACGGCACAAGUAAUGGGGUUGGUGGUGUGAACAAUGGCGACGUUCAUCCUCUCCGGUCACUGCAGUAAUAACAAAGUUUUGACCUCCGAAACAGAUAUACACACACACAGUAUACACAUACAUGUUCAUAUCAAGCUCGGCGCCAAUGAAGGGAUGGUGUUCCUCUACAAUAGGUGAAGAUGUUUCAAUUGUCACGGACUUGACAACAACGGUUACGACCAGAGCUGCUUCCAUGCGCAAAGGAAAAGACGAUGCUUGUACCUUCACUAUGUACUUGUAGGUUCCGCAAGGCACAGGUGUGUAUGCUGUCUAUGCUGGAUUCAUUCACCUGCUCUAGGAUCACCGUAUCUAUUUUCAUUAUCAAUUUCAGCUCACAGUAAGAGCAAACUGUUUCUAGCUAUUCACUUCAUCUGUUCCACACCUGGUAAUUCCCCUCUUGAUAGGGAAAUGAAUGGGAGAAUCCUGCAUUCACGUUUAAUAAGUUCUGCCCAUGAAACAGUGGUAAAGAGUAACAGCUAGACGACCUGCUGCAUUACAUCUUUGAAAUUUUAUUUCUGGUUUGCACUUUUGAAUUAUUCCGCGGAACAAUGAACUGUCGAGGAUCUACGACAGCGAAAAGGAAGCUCUUCAGUUGCCUCGUAGAAGAUCUGUGCUCGGACUUGGGUGACGAAGUUCCUUGCUUUUGUUCACUCAAUCAGUCGACUUAACUAUAUAACCUUUUCCAUGAUUAUGUUUUGAAGAAUUAAUUGUUCAGACCUCAGGAGAGGCUAAAAGAAGCAAAAAUAGCUCUUAAUUGAAUCUGUUUGGUU